GUUGAACAGCUAAUUAGAAUCAGGUGUGCCAAAUCAGGGUUGAAAUGAAAACCUACGGGACGGUGGAUCUCCAAAAACAGGGUUGGUAACCACUGCGUGAAAGUGACCAUCGUCAGGAGGCAGAGAUGGCGUCGAACGCAGAUUCCAAUGCCGUGGUUCCGGCGGUGCAGGCAAAUGAACAUGACUCGCAGAAAAAUGAGUUAACGCAACUUCGGGAUGAACUCAAUGGCCGUCUCGAGGACCUGCAAGAGAAAACAGAGUUGUGCAACAGAAUUCUGAGGGAUUUGGUGGAUCUCCGUGGCAUUUUGGCGGACAAAAACGUCGGUGACAGACCCGUUCCAUCUACCCAGCAGGAUCACAGCCACUGACUUGUGUGUGUGCGCGCGCGCAUGUGUGCGUAACUGCAGCAAUACAUUAAAAGACAAAACAUUUGGGUUCUUGAUGUUUGGACUAAACGGCAAAAAAUAAAAUCAGACAGAUCAACAUAGGAUUUAAUUAGUAUUAUAUUGCUUUCAAUUCCAAAAAAUGUUAAUUCUUUUACUUAAUCAUAAUACAAUAUUACUUUAUACAAAACAAGCAUAUAAGCAAACCUUUUUCACAUUAUACAUUCUUUAAAAAUACAAAUCUUUACAUGUUAAUUUUUUUCCUCUCUCUUUGGGACUCGGAGACAUUCUCUUCCUUUGGAAGCAUUUGUAUUUCACUAUCUUGUCACACUCGCGGGACAAACCCUGUGAACUUUAAGGGCACGCUCACAUUACGAACGGAACAGAACCGAACCGCGACGGGAACUGAACCCAAGUUCGUCCCGGCGUUCCGAUUCUGGCACACCGCGCGAAACCCAGCAGUGCGAACACGGUGUUUCAAAGCGAAUGGGGGGUGGCCCAUCCCCACCGGUAUCGCACUAACACUCAAACCUCCAAAGCACGACUAAAGAAAACCAUAGACGCAUAAAUCACGUUCUGUACUGUGACAAGACUUGCCAUGUGACAAAAGACUGAGCAAUCAGCAG